GAAAGCUUUUCCACCUGGCCACGAAAGAAGUCCACAUAACCCCCUGAGGUUUCCGAAACCGGCUAAUUCACCCCCUCAACUCUAAAACCGGUUAAUUAGCCCCCUGAGGUCUCUAAUACCAGCCAGGACACACCCUAAUCCCAAUUAGAGUGGUUUUUGCCGGUGGUUUUGCUUGCGUGGCCCUGGACCAUUGCCACGUCGGCUUGGUGGAAGGCGCGAAGAGAUACGAGGACGCGCGUGAAGUUUUACUCAAUCCCCAAUCCGGUAUGCGCAAUCCCUAGUUCCCCUCUUCCUUCUCCCCUGUUCGCCGCCAUGGCCGCCAGAUGAGUCUCGUCCUCCUCUGUUCUGUAGUUCCUCCCUUUCCCUGUGUGUCUCCAUGGCCGCCCCACCUACGUAAUUCCUCCUCCCUCGAUCCCCCAUUCUCCAGCGCCCUGGACGAGGACCGCCCUCGUCAUGGCUCAAUGGAGCAGCGGCUGCUUGUCUUGGAGUUCCUGUUUGACUCGUCGUCUAGCCGUAGCGGGCCGCCGAUCCCCUAUAGUUCUUGUUCAUCUCUUCCUGUUCUUCAGGUAAGAAGUGGAUGCUGGUUUCGUGAGAAAAGAAAAAUGGAUGUUGGUGUACAGGUUAUCUUUUUACCCAGAAUAUGUACCGAUUAUUAUCAAUUUGCCAACACAAUUGAUUCUUUGAUUCACUUGUUGUUGCUACUGUACGUAGCUUAGCAUCAGACUGAAUUUUUAGUAUAGCCAAGACAACUUCAGAGCUCCAAACUGAAUAUCGUUGUGAAGUAAUACUCGCAAGUUAAUAUAAAUUUCUCAUUCACCCAGUUAAUUUCGCAUUCCUAACCUAUUCUAUUAUAUAUUUUGGGACAUGCUAAUGACUUAAUUUUGUAUUGGUGCAUAUGAAUUUUUUCUGACUUCAAUCGGAGGCUCUAAGCACCAAACUUGCAGGAGGCACUACAUUUGCGAACGAUGACACCAGAGGAAUGAACAACUUCAUCAUCUUAUAAGAGCAUUGGAGCAAGAGAGAGCAAUGCACAAGAAAGAGCAAGAUAGAUCAAUGUUGCAGUUGCAUUGGAGAUUGUCAGCUGUAUAUGAAGAUAUGAAAGUGAAGAAAAAAAAGGGACAUGUGCCUUUAUCAUGAUAUUGUGGGUUGUUUCUUUAGUUUUAGAUUUUGUUGCUGGUAUGGUCGUCUCAGUCUAGUUGAGAAGAGAGAAUUCAGAUAAUGCAAUUUUUUAAGGGAAUGUACUUGUAGCUCUGCAAUCUAUUGCAUACGCAAAGAUAUAUGUAAUCUGAAAGCAAGCUUUUCUUGCUGUCAUGAAUGAAAGCUUUUAUUAACUGAAA